GCUUACGGCCAUACUAUCCUGAAUACUCCUAAUCUCGAAAGCUAAGCAGGGGCAGGCUUGGUUGGGUGAUCGCUUGGAAUACCAGGUGCUGUAAGCU
rnacentral:rRNA from 1 species